CCAGAGAACUUAGCAGAGAUGCUUUGGUGCCUUCGGGAACUCUGAGACAGGUGCUGCAUGGCUGUCGUCAGCUCGUGUUGUGAAAUGUUGGUUAAGUCCCGCAACGAGCGCAACCCCUAUCCUUUGUUGCCAGCGAUUCGGUCGGGAACUCAAAGGAGACUGCCGGUGAUAAACCGGAGGAAGGUGGGGAUGACGUCAAGUCAUCAUGGCCCUUACGAGUAGGGCUACACACGUGCUACAAUGGCGCAUACAAAGAGAAGCGACCUCGCGAGAGCAAGCGGACCUCAUAAAGUGCGUCGUAGUCCGGAUUGGAGUCUGCAACUCGACUCCAUGAAGUCGGAAUCGCUAGUAAUCGUAGAUCAGAAUGCUACGGUGAAUACGUUCCCGGGCCUUGUACACACCGCCCGUCACACCAUGGGAGUGGGUUGCAAAAGAAGUAGAUAGCUUAACCUUCGGGAGGGCGUUUACCACUUUGUGAUUCAUGACUGGGGUGAAGUCGUAACAAGGUAGGCGUAGCGAG
rnacentral:rRNA from 1 species